rnacentral:rRNA from 1 species
GACAGAGGGUGCAAACGUUGUUCGGAAUUACUGGGCGUAAAGGGCUCGUAGGCGGCCAACUAAGUCAGACGUGAAAUCCCUCGGCUUAACCGGGGAACUGCGUCUGAUACUGGAUGGCUUGAAUCCGGGAGAGGGAUGCGGAAUUCCAGGUGUAGCGGUGAAAUGCGUAGAUAUCUGGAGGAACACCGGUGGCGAAGGCGGCAUCCUGGACCGGCAUUGACGCUGAGGAGCGAAAGCCAGGGGAGCAAACGGG